ensembl:lncRNA
AAAAAAAAAAAUAAUAUAAUUUGUUGUAAUACAUUAAUUAAUAGUAAAGUCAAGUUUAUUAGGAAAAAAAAGAGGUCAGCAUUUGUUAAGAUUUAUACAUUAAAAAAUAAGAAAAAACAGUGGAAAUAUUAUUUAAAUGGAGAUAAAGGUUAUGCAAAAAAAAAAGAUUUCCAACUGAAAGGGGCAAAUUCGGAAGAGGCAAAUCGAGGAGAGGUAAAUCGAGGAGAGGUAAAUCGAGGAGAGGUAAAUCGAGGAGAGGCAAAAACAGAAGAAGGACGAAGCGUAAAAAAUGUUUUAAACGAAGAUGAUCCAACGAACAAUGAAAAGGAAAAAAAACAACAAAGAUGGUUUAUCUACAAUUUAAAAAAAGGGUACUUAAACAUAGAGCAUAUUGAUGAAAAUAACGAAAAUAGUGAUGUUUUAUUAAAAAUAGAAAUAAAAAAUGAAUUGAGAGAAUUUUAUUAUGAUAUAUGUGUAAAAGAAUAUAAGGAAAUAAAAUUAAAAGAAGAUAAAUAUAAAUAUUCUUAUUUAAAAGAUGUACCUAUUAAUAAUUUAAUUACUUAUAUAGAUAAAGAAACAUACUUAAAUAUAUUUUUUAAAUUAAUUCAUAACGAUAUAAUAAAAGUUUAUAACAAAAUAAAUAACUUACAUUUAAUAGGUGAACCUAGAUUAUUAAAUAACAUUGAUCAUAUAAAUAUAAAUAAAUUUACUGACAUUUUUUUAAAUUUUUGUAUUGAUAAAUUUCCUAUAAUAAAAUUCAAUGAACCAUACAUUAAUUUAAAGCUUACUAUUCAAACCCCUCCAUAUAAAAAAGGUAGUACAUUUGAUGAAUUUUUAAAAAUAAUAAAUAAUGAAGCAAUGGAUACAGUAGAAGAAGACACAGCAUCAGAUCAUUUAUUAGACUGGGGGAAUAGUGCUAUUAUAAAUGUUACAAGGGGGUGGGUACAUAAUUCUAAAAAUAUCUAUUAUGAUGAAUAUUGUGGUGUAGGUUCUAAUAGUAAUUACACGGAUGAAGUAGAAGUAAAAGAAGAAGAAGAAAAAGUAGAAGAAGAAAAAGUAGAAAAAGUAGAAAAA